GUGCCAGCCGCCGCGGUAAUACGUAGGAGGCGAGCGUUGUCCGGAUUUACUGGGCGUAAAGCGCGCGCAGGCGGCAGUGCAAGUAAGGUGUGAAAUCUCCCUGCUCAACGGGGAGGGUGCACUUUAGACUGCACAGCUCGAGGUCGGUAGAGGGGGGUGGAAUUGCUGGUGUAGCGGUGAAAUGCGUAGAGAUCAGCAGGAACACCCGUGGCGAAGGCGGCCCCCUGGGCCGUACCUGACGCUGAGGCGCGAAGGCUAGGGGAGCGAACGGGAUUAGAUACCCCGGUAGUCCUAGCAGUAAACGAUGGCCACUAGGUGUGGGGGGUGUUGACCCCUUCCGUGCCGAAGCUAACGCAUUAAGUGGCCCGCCUGGGGAGUACGGUCGCAAGACUAAA
rnacentral:rRNA from 1 species